AUUGAACGCUGGCGGCAUGCCUAACACAUGCAAGUCGAACGGUAACGACGGGAGCUUGCUCCCGGGCGACGAGUGGCGGACGGGUGAGUAAUACUUAGGAAUCUGCCCAGUAGUGGGGGACAACAUUCGGAAACGGAUGCUAAUACCGCAUACGCCCUAAGGGGGAAAGCGGGGGAUCUUCGGACCUCGCGCUAUUGGAUGAGCCUAAGUCGGAUUAGCUUGUUGGUGAGGUAAAGGCUCACCAAGGCGACGAUCCGUAGCUGGUCUGAGAGGACGAUCAGCCACACUGGGACUGAGACACGGCCCAGACUCCUACGGGAGGCAGCAGUGGGGAAUAUUGGACAAUGGGCGCAAGCCUGAUCCAGCAAUGCCGCGUGUGUGAAGAAGGCCUGCGGGUUGUAAAGCACUUUCAGUAGAGAAGAAAAGCCUAGGGUUAAUACCCCUGAGUCUUGACGUAACCUACAGAAGAAGCACCGGCUAACUCCGUG
rnacentral:rRNA from 1 species